GUUGCCUCCCUUGUUCCACCGUGUGUGAUGCACUGGUCCCAGUCGGGCCAGAAUGCUUCCUUCAUACGUUCACAGUAGGCAGCCAGGUUUGGGUAUUUGUCUAGGACAGGGAACAAUACGAGAUAAUAAAUGUUAAAUAUAUGACUGACUGUUUAAAUAUCAUAUAAAUAAACAGAAAGAACAGUA